AGCGGCGGACGGGUGAGUAAUGCCUAGGAAUCUGCCUGGUAGUGGGGGAUAACGCUCGGAAACGGACGCUAAUACCGCAUACGUCCUACGGGAGAAAGCAGGGGACCUUCGGGCCUUGCGCUAUCAGAUGAGCCUAGGUCGGAUUAGCUAGUUGGUGGGGUAAUGGCUCACCAAGGCGACGAUCCGUAACUGGUCUGAGAGGAUGAUCAGUCACACUGGAACUGAGACACGGUCCAGACUCCUACGGGAGGCAGCAGUGGGGAAUAUUGGACAAUGGGCGAAAGCCUGAUCCAGCCAUGCCGCGUGUGUGAAGAAGGUCUUCGGAUUGUAAAGCACUUUAAGUUGGGAGGAAGGGCAUUAACCUAAUACGUUAGUGUUUUGACGUUACCGACAGAAUAAGCACCGGCUAACUCUGUGCCAGCAGCCGCGGUAAUACAGAGGGUGCAAGCGUUAAUCGGAAUUACUGGGCGUAAAGCGCGCGUAGGUGGUUCGUUAAGUUGGAUGUGAAAUCCCCGGGCUCAACCUGGGAACUGCAUUCAAAACUGUCGAGCUAUAGUAUGGUAGAGGGUGGUGGAAUUUCCUGUGGCUCCCUGAAAUGCGUUGAUAUCGGAAGGAACGUGGUGGCGA
rnacentral:rRNA from 1 species